GCCAGCAUGGUGUAGUGGUUUGAGCAUUGGACUAUAACUUUGAAGACCGGGGUUCAAUUCUCCACUUGGUCA